AAUUUUGCGCAAUGGGCGAAAGCCUGACGCAGCAACGCCGCGUGAAUGUUAAGCCCCUCGGGGUGUAAAGUUCUGUCAGUGGGGACGAAACUUGACGGUACCCACAGAGGAAGCACCGGCUAACUCCGUGCCAGCAGCCGCGGUAAUACGGAGGGUGCAAGCGUUGUCCGGAAUCAUUGGGCGUAAAGAGUUCGUAGGCGGUAUGUUAAGUCUGGUGUUAAAUCCCGAAGCUCAACUUCGGUCCGGCAUCGGAUACUGGCAAACUUGAAUGCAGUAGAGGUAAAGGGAAUUCCUGGUGUAGCGGUGAAAUGCGUAGAUAUCAGGAGGAACAUCGGCGGCGAAAGCGCUUUACCGGGCUGUUAUUGACGCUGAGGAACGAAAGCCGGGGUAGCAAAUGGG
rnacentral:rRNA from 1 species